GUUGUCCACGUUCCAUGUUUGGGCUGCAUGUCGAGUGUAAUUUACAGUUGUGCCACUUAUCCCCAUGAGAAUCGUCUCUUAUCUCCUUCCGUUUCCCUCCCGACGAAACGUUUACGCCCGUGGGGUACUAGUGUCUCGACGUUGUCGCGCUCUUCUCCUCUUGUCCUUCAAUACGUGGACACGCUCGGCGGGCACAUCAUCGGCAAUGGCGCCGCCGUCGUCGCUCUACUCCUCCGGCCGCCUCCUCCCCUCCCGCCCGGCGUCCAUGGCGAGGUUGGGAGGUGGGUCCGGCCGUCGUGCGCCCUGUCCAUGAACGGCUGCGCGUCCGGCACUGGCACCGGCGACGCGGUGAGCAUUCGCGAGACGCGAGCGCUGCCGGCCGCGUCGGCGCCGCAGGAGGCCGUGGGGCAGCUCAGGGCCGCCGUGGCCGCGCUCCACACCGACCCGCCGGCCUCCUCCUCCGGCAUCAUCCGCAUCGAGGUGCCGAUUCGGCAGCGAGGGGACGCCAUCGAGUGGCUGCACGCGCAGAGCUCGCUGCCGCGCUGCUUCUUCUCCGCCCGGGCGCCGCUGCCGGACAGGCCGCCGCCCUUCAACGGCAACGGCAACGGCCUGAUCAAGGCGGAGCAGAGCUGGCAGCAGCCGGUCAGCGUCGCCGGCGUGGGCUCGGCGGUCUUCUUCCGAGGGACGGACCCUUUCUCCCUCCGUGACUGGCGCGCCAUCAAGAGAUUCCUUUCGAGGGAUUGCCCGCUGAUCCGCGCCUACGGCGCCAUCCGUUUUGACGCCACGAGCGACACCUCCGUCGAAUGGGAGGACUACGGUUCAUUUUACUUCAUUGUUCCACAGGUUGAGUUCAGUGAGCUCGAGGAGAGCUCGGUUCUUGCGACGACCAUUGCGUGGGAUGACUCACUUUCUUGGACAUGGCAGAACGCCGUCAACGAGCUGCAGUCUACAUUGCAGAAGAUAUCGCCUUGUUCAGUUAAGGUCAACAAGUCCAGUCUGCAAACGACCAUUAUAAAUCUUAAUCAUGUUCCUACCAAGGCGUCUUGGGACGUUGCUGUUACGAAAGCUCUUCAGAUGAUCAAAAGGAGGCAAAGGGAAUUAGUGAAGGUUGUACUUGCAAGGUGCAGCAGAUACAUUACUGAUACUUGCAUUGACCCUUUGGAGCUGUUAGCUUGUCUAAAGGUUGAGGGCCAAAAUGCCUACCAGUUCUGCAUACAGCCACCUGAUGCUCCUGCAUUUGUUGGAAAUAGUCCAGAGCAACUAUUUCACCGGAAAUACUUGGACAUUUCUAGCGAGGCUUUAGCUGGUACGCGAGCAAGAGGGAAAACAAGGGCUGAUGAUUUUCAAAUUGGUCAGGAUUUGCUUCUAAGCAUCAAAGAGGAUACUGAAUUUACCAUAGUACGGGACAGCAUAAAGAAGAAGCUUGAGAUGAUCUGUGAUGAGGUUGUUGUCCAUCCCAGCAAGGCCCUUCGGAAACUUCCAAGAGUACAACACCUGUCAGCUCAGUUAGCUGCAAGAUUAAGAAGCGAAGAUGAUGAGUUUGACAUCCUAAAUGCUCUUCAUCCAAGCCCAGCUGUUUGUGGUUUGCCCACUGAAGAGGCGCGUCAAUUCAUACGAGAUUAUGAAAUUUUUGACCGUGGAAUGUAUGCUGGACCUGUUGGUUGGUUUGGAGGAGCUGAAAGCGAGUUUGCUGUUGGGAUUAGAUCAGCACUACUUGGAAAAGGUCAUAGCACUUUAGUUUAUGCCGGUGCCGGGAUUGUUGAAGGUACAAAUCCAUCUUUUGAAUGGGAUGAACUUGAUCUCAAAGCAUCUCAGAUUUUGUGAUUAUUUUCAGUUCGCAAAGUUGUUACAGUACCAAGAACAACAUAUUUGCUACCAAGAGGUGGGAAACAUGGGACAUUGAUUUGAACUCUUACUAGGAAGUUUUGAUUUGAUGGGGAGAUUCUAAAAUGGAGUUUUCUGGUGCGUGCGUGUACGUGUGUGUGUCAUAAAAUUCAAAGGAUUGUCUUGUUAAAGAUGUGUUGACGAAAUAAAUGUUUAUGCUGGUUUGCAUGUAUGUCUCUUGGAAAGGCAACAGCAAAAGUACCAAUUUCAAAAAAUGAUGAUGAUAUUCACAAUGUGUAGAAAAGAUCAAAGAGAGCAUUUCAAUAAAAAAAGUAAAAUAAUUGUAGCAGUUUAUAGUGCAAGUGUUUCGCAUGAUCUUGAGUUCUCAAAAAUGUAUUGGUUGUUCAAUUACUUGUACAAUCUGAUUCAAGAUGUUUCUUGUUAUAUUAUAAUUUCAUUGUCAUUUUUUCCA